rnacentral:rRNA from 1 species
UGGGGAAUUUUGGACAAUGGGCGAAAGCCUGAUCCAGCAAUGCCGCGUGCGUGAAGAAGGCCUUCGGGUUGUAAAGCACUUUUGUCCGGAAAGAAAUCCUUGGCUCUAAUACAGUCGGGGGAUGACGGUACCGGAAGAAUAAGCACCGGCUAACUACGUGCCAGCAGCCGCGGUAAUACGUAGGGUGCAAGCGUUAAUCGGAAUUACUGGGCGUAAAGCGUGCGCAGGCGGUUUGCUAAGACCGAUGUGAAAUCCCCGGGCUCAACCUGGGAACUGCAUUGGUGACUGGCAGGCUAGAGUAUGGCAGAGGGGGGUAGAAUUCCACGUGUAGCAGUGAAAUGCGUAGAGAUGUGGAGGAAUACCGAUGGCGAAGGCAGCCCCCUGGGCCAAUACUGACGCUCAUGCACGAAAGCGUGGGGAGCAAACAGGAUUAGAUACCCUGGUAGUCCACGCCCUAAAACGAUGUCAACUAGUUGUUGGGGAUUCAUUUCCUUAGUAACGUAGCUAACGCGUGAAGUUGACCGCCUGGGGAGUACGGUCGCAAGAUUAAAACUCAAAUGAAUUGACGGGGUCAUAGCUGUUUCCU